UUCGCAAUGCCCGAAAGGGUGACGAAGCGACGCCGCGUGGGUGAGGAAGGCCUUCGGGUUGUAAAGCCCUGUCAGGAGUUAAGGAAUGUAAGUGUGCUAAUAUCGCAUUUACUUGACGAAGGCUCCAAAGGAAGUCACGGCUAACUCUGUGCCAGCAGCCGCGGUAAUACAGAGGUGGCAAGCGUUGUUCGGAAUUAUUGGGCGUAAAGAGCACGUAGGUGGGUUUGUAAGUCAGAUGUGAAAGCCUCCUGUUCAACGGGAGAAUUGCAUCUGAAACUACUGAUCUUGAGUAUAGGAGGGGAGAAUGGAACUUCUGGUGGAGCGGUGAAAUGCGUAGAUAUCAGAAGGAACGCCGGCGGCGAAAGCGAUUCUCUGGCCUAUUACUGACACUCAGUGUGCGAAAGCUAGGGGAGCAAACGGGAUUAGAUACCCCGGUAGUCCUAGCCGUAAACGAUGGGCACUAAGUAGAGGGGUUUU
rnacentral:rRNA from 2 species